rnacentral:tRNA from 1 species
GCCGAAGUGGUGGAACUGGCAGACACGCCAUCUUGAGGGGGUGGUGAGGAAACUCGUGGGGGUUCGAGUCCCCCCUUCGGCACCA